CUGAUCUAUUUAAGCCUCAGUGUUUGUCUUGUCUUUGUCAGAUCGUUGUUUCAUGUCUGUGUUCUGUGCAGCACCUGUGGUUAGCUCU